rnacentral:rRNA from 1 species
UACGGGGGGGGCAAGCGUUGUUCGGAAUUACUGGGCGUAAAGGGCUCGUAGGUGGCCAACUCAGUCGGACGUGAAAUCCCUCGGCUUAACCGGGGAACUGCGUCCGAUACUGGAUGGCUUGAGAUCGGGAGAGGGAUGCGGAAUUCCAGGUGUAGCGGUGAAAUGCGUAGAUAUCUGGAGGAACACCGGUGGCGAAGGCGGCAUCCUGGACCGGUAUUGACGCUGAGGAGCGAAAGCCAGGGGAGCAAACGGG